rnacentral:rRNA from 1 species
UACAGAGGGUGCGAGCGUUGUCCGGAAUCAUUGGGCGUAAAGGGCGCGUAGGUGGCCCCUCAAGCGUGCGGUGAAAGUCAGGGGCUCUACCCCUGAUCGGCCGUGCGAACUGGGGAGCUUGAGCACUGUAGAGGCAGGCGGAAUUCCGGGUGUAGCGGUGGAAUGCGUAGAGAUCCGGAAGAACACCGGUGGCGAAGGCGGCCUGCUGGGCAGUUUUGCUGACACUGAGGCGCGACAGCGUGGGGAGCAAACAGG